rnacentral:snRNA from 1 species
CUGCUUUGGCAACAUAUAUAUUAAAAUUUGAAUGAUAUGGAGAAGAUUAGCAUAGCCCUUUGCAAGGAUGACACCCAAAUUCAUAAAGCAUUCCUUU